rnacentral:rRNA from 1 species
GCGCGAUCACGCGCGAAUCAAUACAACUUUCAACAACGGAUCUCUUGGCUCUCGCAUCGAUGAAGAACGCAGCGAAAUGCGAUACGUAAUGUGAAUUGCAGAAUUCAGUGAAUCAUCGAAUCUUUGAACGCACCUUGCGCCCCUUGGCAUUCCGAGGGGCACACCCGUUUGAGUGUCGUGAACAUCCUCAACCUGCUUCGUUCUAUCGAACCAAGUAGGCUUGGAAUUUGGAGGUUUUUCUGCUGGCUUCCUCUGUGAAGCCAGCUCCUCUUAAAUCUAUCAGUGGGAUCCGCUUUGCUAGAUCCUCGACGUUGAUAAGAUGUUUCUACGUCUUGGGUUUCGCUCGGGAAAGGACCUGCUUCUAACCGUCCCCCCCAUCGGGGACAAUGUUCGAGAGCCGAUCGCCCUUCACGGGGUGGGAAGCUUUUCGACCCAUGAAACCUUGACCUCAAAUCGGGUGAGACUACCCGCUGAACUUAAGCAUAUCAAUAAGCGGAGGAAAAGAAACUAACAAGGAUUCCCCUAGUAACUGCGAGUGAAGCGGGAAAAGCUCAAAUUUAAAAUCUGGUGGUCUUUUGCCCAUCCGAGUUGUAAUUUAGAGAAGCGUCUUCCGCGCUGGACCGUACACAAGUCUCCUGGAACGGAGCGUCAUAGAGGGUGAGAAUCCCGUCUUUGGUACGGA